UACGGGGGGAGCAAGCGUUGUUCGGAUUUACUGGGCGUAAAGGGCGCGUAGGCGGCCACCGCAAGUCGACUGUGAAAUCUCCGGGCUUAACCCGGAAAGGUCAGCCGAUACUGCGGGGCUAGAGUGCAGAAGGGGCAACUGGAAUUCUCGGUGUAGCGGUGAAAUGCGUAGAUAUCGAGAGGAACACCUGCGGCGAAGGCGGGUUGCUGGGCUGACACUGACGCUGAUGCGUGAAAGCUAGGGGAGCGAACGGG
rnacentral:rRNA from 1 species